rnacentral:RNase_P_RNA from 1 species
GUUCGUCGCUGGCGGCAUUCGUGCCGAAAGAGGAAAGUCCGGGCAGCAUAGGGCAUCCUACUUCCUAAUGUAGAAGCAGUCCGUGAGGGUUGAGUAAUGCAGAAGAAAACAACCGCCCCUUGGGGUAAGGGUGAGAAGGUGGGGUAAGAGCCCACCAGCAAUAUGGUGACAUAUUGGCUGUGCAUCUUAGGAGCUGCAAGUUCAUGUAUACUGCCGUUAUGAGGGUAGCCCGCCCAAGGCAGAGGGUAGAACGCUUGAGACACAUGGUGACAUGUGUCGUAGAUAAAUGACGAACAGUUGGUCUCCGACCAGCUACAGAACCCGGCUUAUAGCACA